CUCAAGGUGAAAUAUUGAAAGUCGGUUUCGGCUGUCGCUAUAGGAUGGGCCCGCGGCGCAUUAACUAGUUGGUGAGGUAACGGCUCACCAAGGCGACGAUGCGUAGCCUACCUGACAGGGUGAUCGGCCACACUGGGACUGAAACACGGCCCAGACUCCUACGGGAGGCAGCAGUAGGGAAUCUUCCACAAUGGGCGAAAGCCUGAUGGAGCAACGCCGCGUGAGUGAAGAAGGAUUUCGGUUCGUAAAACUCUGUUGUAAGGGAAGAACAAGUACAGUAGUAACUGGCUGUACCUUGACGGUACCUUAUUAAAAAGCCACGGCUAACUACGUGCCAGCAGCCGCGGUAAUACGUAGGUGGCAAGCGUUGUCCGGAAUUAUUGGGCGUAAAGCGCGCGCAGGUGGUUUCUUAAGUCUGAUGUGAAAGCCCACGGCUCAACCGUGGAGGGUCAUUGGAAACUGGGAGACUUGAGUGCAGAAGAGGAUAGUGGAAUUCCAAGUGUAGCGGUGAUAUGCUUAGAGAUUUGGAGGAACACCAGUGGCGAAAGCGACUAUCUGGUCUGUAACUGACACUGAGGCGCGAAAGCGUGGGGGGCAAACCAGGAUUAGAUACCCUGGUAGUCCACGCCSUAAACGAUGAGUGUUAAGUGUUAGGGGGUUUCCGUCCCUUAGUGCUGCAGCUAACGCAUUAAGCACUCCGCCUGGGGAGUACGGUCGCAAGACUGAAACUCAAAGGAAUUGACGGGGGCCCGCACAAGCGGUGGAGCAUGUGGUUUAAU
rnacentral:rRNA from 1 species